UAGGCCCUGAAUCAAGACCAAUGUUUGCUGUAGCCAUUGGUUUCAAACAGGAGCCAAGAGUAAUAUCCUUCCUUGGUCUGUUGGCUAUUCAGUAUCUCUGGAAUGGCCAAUUCAUUUGGAAGAAACAUGG
ensembl:snoRNA